CUCAGCAGGGGGCAUCUACCUCCCUUGCCUCUCCAAGCAAUAUACCCUCUCUCGCUUUAACUCCUCCUUACCCCUAUACAAACCUCCCUUAUUAUUCCACAUUUAUCCCCUGUUUUCCAAUUCCCAUAUAAAUAUUACACUGUAAAACUUUGAAUACAAGGAAAUCUGAAAAGACCUUACAAGGGGAUGCAAACUCUGUGAAUGGGCAAAUCACUUAACUGAUUGCCUAACUCUUGCCAUUCUUUUGACUUAGAAAUGAUACUAAGCCCAAAAGGUAAGGGUUAAAAGGAGAAGAAAGAAGAAGAAAGAAGGAAGAAGGAAGGAGGAAGAAGAAUAAGAUGACAAAGAAGGAGGAAGAGGAUCUACAGGAGGAGGAAGAUGAGGAUAAAAAUAAGAAAUGACAAAGAAUUUUCAAAAAGACUAAGUAGGACAGACUGAAGGAGUGUUAUAAUACUUCAGGUAUUGAGAACAAGUAAUUCAUACAUAAAAAGGAAUUAGGAAGACUAGCUGUUCAUAUUUAUAUUCAAUUUUUAAAAGGACUAGGUAACCCCCACCACUACCUUCCCAAGACUUCUGCAGACCACCCAGGAGACCCCCGGGGAGAAGAGAGAGCCCUGGUGUAAUUUAGGAGUGCAGCCAACAUCCCGUGAGCCUGGAAGUGUCAGGGACAGAGUCCAGAGUGGCAUUCACCCAACCGUUAUGUUCCGCCUGGCAGGCAGCGAGAUGUCAGCUAUCCAAGAAUGUGUCAUUAUAAGCUUGUUAAAAAUCAAAUCAAGCUACCUAUCUAUCUGCAAGUGACAAGCAUUUGGCAUAAGACUGAUCUUUUCAGGAUAGAAGAAGAAAAAAUAAGAGAGUUUGCUUAGAUGACAUCCCGCUUCCCUUCCAGGUAUGAGUCUCUGAUCCUAAGCUUCUUCUGCAUUUUGCCCUAUUGUGACAAGAAAAGAGUACUGGUGGCUCCUUUAAACACUAGAUCGACAGAAGCCAAUUUCUCUGAAGCUAGAACAGGACUUGAUAUUUAAGUGAUGCCUUCCAAAUAACACUCCAACUGAUUCCAAGGAUGCAUCAAAAACAUAAAGAACAGCAAAUGCUCUCAGGCAUAGUUAACCUUGGCCUCUUUGGGGGACAAUGGUAUAUGGCUGGUCUGGUAAAUUUACCAGUCAGUGAAUCUGAAGAGAAUAUUCAUUAAAAGACAGAAAUUGUUUAGUUAGUUUGCAGCCACAAUCAAACACUUCUAAAAAUAGAUGUGAAAACGAUGCUAAUUCUAACUACAUUUGUCAUCAUUGGAACUGCUACAAUACACCUAGAAAGAAUUGAAAAUUUAUUCACAAUUAUAAAGCACUGUAAUUUCCAUUUACUUCUAAAGAAAAAGGCCCUAAUUAUUUUUUAGGCCUUUUAAACUCAUCUCUUAGCAUCCACCUGACAUUUUCCAUCCCUACAGCUUCACAGUUUCUCUCUGUGUCACUGUGGUUUGACAUACAAUAGUAUUGUCUUGAACACAUCAAGAUGAGGUAUUGGAUGUCAUCUCUACCCUCUUUACAAUAUGUUCCUAAUUCAUAGAAUAAACUUAGUCUCUAAGAUGUAUGUAAAAAUGUA
ensembl:lncRNA